rnacentral:rRNA from 1 species
UACGUAGGGCGCAAGCGUUGUCCGGAAUUAUUGGGCGUAAAGAGCUCGUAGGCGGCCUGUUACGUCUGCUGUGAAAUCCCGGGGCUUAACCCCGGGCGUGCAGUGGAUACGGGCAGGCUGGAGGCAGGCAGGGGAGAACGGAAUUCCCGGUGUAGCGGUGAAAUGCGCAGAUAUCAGGAGGAACACCGAUGGCGAAGGCAGGUCUCUGGGCCACUACUGACGCUGAGAAGCGAAAGCAUGGGGAGCGAACAGG